ACUGCGUACCUUUUGUAUAAUGGGUCAGCGACUUAUAUUCUGUAGCAAGGUUAACCGUAUAGGGGAGCCGUAGGGAAACCGAGUCUUAACCGGGCGUUAAGUUGCAGGGUAUAGACCCGAAACCCGGUGAUCUAGCCAUGGGCAGGUUGAAGGUUGGGUAACACUAACUGGAGGACCGAACCGACUAAUGUUGAAAAAUUAGCGGAUGACCUGUGGCUGGGGGUGAAAGGCCAAUCAAACCGGGAGAUAGCUGGUUCUCCCCGAAAGCUAUUUAGGUAGCGCCUCGUGAAUUCAUCUCCGGGGGUAGAGCACUGUUUCGGCUAGGGGGCCAUCCCGGCUUACCAACCCGAUGCAAACUGCGAAUACCGGAGAAUGUUAUCACGGGAGACACACGGCGGGUGCUAACGUCCGUCGUGAAGAGGGAAACAACCCAGACCGCCAGCUAAGGUCCCAAAGUCAUGGUUAAGUGGGAAACGAUGUGGGAAGGCCCAGACAGCCAGGAUGUUGGCUUAGAAGCAGCCAUCAUUUAAAGAAAGCGUAAUAGCUCACUGGUCGAGUCGGCCUGCGCGGAAGAUGUAACGGGGCUAAACCAUGCACCGAAGCUGCGGCAGCGAACGUAUCACCCAAGACAACUUUACGGAGUUGACGAUUGACGGAGCGAAGCGACGUCAAAGCGUUCAUUAAAGUCGAGUUGGCUUAGGGAUACGUUCGUUGGGUAGGGGAGCGUUCUGUAAGCCUGUGAAGGUGUGUCGUGAGGCAUGCUGGAGGUAUCAGAAGUGCGAAUGCUGACAUAAGUAACGAUAAAGCGGGUGAAAAGCCCGCUCGCCGGAAGACCAAGGGUUCCUGUCCAACGUUAAUCGGGGCAGGGUGAGUCGACCCCUAAGGCGAGGCCGAAAGGCGUAGUCGAUGGGAAACGGGUUAAUAUUCCCGUACUUGGUGUUACUGCGAAGGGGGGACGGAGAAGGCUAUGUUGGCCGGGCGACGGUUGUCCCGGUUUAAGCGUGUAGGUGUGUGUUCCAGGUAAAUCCGGUUCACUUUAACACUGAGGCGUGACGACGAGGCACUACGGUGCUGAAGCAACAAAUGCCCUGCUUCCAGGAAAAGCCUCUAAGCAUCAGGUAACACGAAAUCGUACCCCAAACCGACACAGGUGGUCAGGUAGAGAAUACCAAGGCGCUUGAGAGAACUCGGGUGAAGGAACUAGGCAAAAUGGUGCCGUAACUUCGGGAGAAGGCACGCUGACACGUAGGUGAAGUGAUUUACUCAUGGAGCUGAAGUCAGUCGAAGAUACCAGCUGGCUGCAACUGUUUAUUAAAAACACAGCACUGUGCAAACACGAAAGUGGACGUAUACGGUGUGACGCCUGCCCGGUGCCGGAA
rnacentral:rRNA from 1 species